UCAGGUAGGGAGGAUCUAGGAUCAGGUAGGGAGGAUCUAGGAUCAGGUAGGGAGGAUCUAGGAUCAGGUAGGGAGGAUCUAGGAUCAGGUAGGGAGGAUCUAGGAUCAGGUAGGGAGGAUCUAGGAUCAGGUAGGGAGGAUCUAGGAUCAGGUAGGGAGGAUCUAGGAUCAGGUAGGGAGGAUCUAGGAUCAGGUAGGGAGGAUCUAGG